AGGUGUGAGGACUUUGCCAACACUGGCGAGACGGUGAGGUUUUAAUGGAGCUAACACACCUGGUGAAGUACCUUCUUCAAGCAUCAUUCUAUGGUAGGGAUUGAGGAAAAGAGAAGGCAGAUGGAUGGGUUGAUUUAGAUUUGGAGGUUUUCAGAAAGGGUGUGAUGGAAACAGAAAAAGGCAAUGGGAUUAAGAAUGAUUGGCACAAUGGACAAAAUCUAA